GAUGAACGCUGGCGGCGUGCCUAAUACAUGCAAGUCGAGCGAACAGACGAGGAGCUUGCUCCUUCGACGUUAGCGGCGGACGGGUGAGUAACACGUAGGUAACCUACCUAUAAGACUGGGAUAACUUCGGGAAACCGGAGCUAAUACAGGAUAAUAUUUCGAAACGCAUGGUUCGAUAGUGAAAGAUGGCUUUGCUAUCACUUAUAGAUGGACCUGCGCCGUAUUAGCUAGUUGGUAAGGUAACGGCUUACCAAGGCAACGAUACGUAGCCGACCUGAGAGGGUGAUCGGCCACACUGGAACUGAGACACGGUCCAGACUCCUACGGGAGGCAGCAGUAGGGAAUCUUCCGCAAUGGGCGAAAGCCUGACGGAGCAACGCCGCGUGAGUGAUGAAGGUCUUCGGAUCGUAAAACUCUGUUAUUAGGGAAGAACAAACGUGUAAGUAACUGUGCACGUCUUGACGGUACCUAAUCAGAAAGCCACGGCUAACUACGUG
rnacentral:rRNA from 1 species